rnacentral:lncRNA from 1 species
AAUGCCACUAUUUUCAUUGCUGCUAUAGGUCAAUUUUCUUUAGUCUUAUAUAAAGUUGCAAUCUCUAAUACUUUAGUUAUAUUAAAUUCAAGUGAUUCAAUCAUUUAAAGAAAAAAUAAAGAUGUCUUAUAAAUGGUGAUUCUUACAAUAAAAACUUUAUUUUCCAUAAAAUCAUAUUUCAUAAAAAAUCAUCUUAUUUUCAAUAAAAUAAUGGAAUUCUUCUUUUUUUUAUAGUCAAAAUGUCAUUGGUUUUAAAUGAAGCUAUAAUCAAUGCCAAUUAAGCUUCAAUUAUCUUUAAAUAAGAAUGAUCUUUAUUUCUAUAUUUUUAGCUAUCUAUCUUCUUGCCAUAAAUAGCUAUACGAAGAAUAGAAGAUUUCUACCAUAAAUAAUAUUUUUCCUAAGUGGCUUGGACUUUAUUUUAUAUGUAUCUUCUUGCCUAUAAUAUGUUAGUAUGGGGCUUUUGAUAAGAAGAAACUUAUCCUCUUUUCUUCUUUUUUUUUAUAGAUUUUAGAACUUUUUUUAUCAUAGAUAUUAUCAAUUUUUUCUUUGCCAAAUUAAUUGAAAUAGAACUUUUGGGCAAAAACACAUAUUCUAAAGUAGAAGGAUUAUUAGAAGAUAAAUUCAAUACUUUAGCUCUAAUCAAUUCUUUUAGAUGUAAGUCUAGAAUAAUAUAUUAAUAAAAGAUAGCUUAAAAAAAUAGCUAUUCAUUUAAUUCUUUCUACCAAAUUUCAUAGGUAGUAAAAAACAUCAAGGUAUUUGUUUUUAUUAUUAUUAAUCAAAACUAAUAGAAUCCUAAAAAAUUUUCAAAAUAUUGGCUUUAGU